rnacentral:rRNA from 1 species
AUACGGAGGAUGCGAGCGUUAUCCGGAUUUAUUGGGUUUAAAGGGAGCGUAGGCGGACGCUUAAGUCAGUUGUGAAAGUUUGCGGCUCAACCGUAAAAUUGCAGUUGAUACUGGGUGUCUUGAGUACAGUAGAGGCAGGCGGAAUUUGUGGGGUAGCGGGGGAAUGCUUAGAUAUCACGAAGAACUCCGAUUGCGAAGGCAGCCUGCUGGACUGUAACUGACGCUGAUGCUCGAAAGUGUGGGUAUCAAACAGGAUUAGAUACCCUGGUAGUCCACACAGUAAACGAUGAAUACUCGCUGUUUGCGAUAUACAGUAAGCGGCCAAGCGAAAGCGUUAAGUAUUCCACCUGGGGAGUACGCCGGCAACGGUGAAACUCAAAGGAAUUGACGGGG